rnacentral:rRNA from 1 species
UGAGCAAUCUGCCCUUCUCUUUGGAAUAAGCGUUGGAAACGACGUCUAAUGCCGAAUACGACCUCCUUUCGCAUGAUCGGAGGUGGAAAGCUCCGGCGGAGAAGGAUGAGCUCGCGGCCUAUCAGCUAGUUGGUGUGGGUAAUGGCCCACCAAGGCGACGACGGGUAGCCGGCCUGAGAGGGUGACCGGCCACACUGGGACUGAGAUACGGCCCAGACUCCUACGGGGGGCAGCAGG